GCAGAGAAGGAGGAAGGAAGGGAAAGCCCUGCUCGGCUGGACUGCCUGGGACCUCUUGACUCAACCCACUGGUGGGGGAGGAAGCAGGCUGCCUGGAGACAUUUGGCAGAACCUAAGGAAGACAGAGGUCUCCUGGGGAAUUGGUAUCUGUCUAGCAUAAAACGGACACCUCUGGUGAGUUCCCAGAAUCCAGGCAGCCCCUGCAUUCCAGCAGACCCCUAGAAGAAUGAAGAACGUCCAGGUUUGGUGGACUCCUUCCCAUCUGAGUGAGGCCUUGAUGGUGGGGACGUCGUUCUCUGCCUUUCCAGGUCUUAUCAAACUAUAGCUCCCCACUAACAGGGUCAGGGGGUUUCAAAUUCACCUUUUCUGGUUUGUACAACCUCAGAGACCAGGACACGGAGGGAGGGACUCUACGCCUUCGCUCCGGUCCACGCCAGGCUAUGUCUUGCCUCCUUCCCGCCCCUUUGCAUCGCUGAACCUACCUUCCCCCGGCGAGCAGGUGGGGGGGCUUGGGGCUGCCCAGGAGGGCAGGAGCAUCCCAGCCCGCUUCUGCCUGGAGCAGCCGCGGCGAGCCCUCGGGGAAAGAGGGCAGGGAAAAGUGCGGGUGGUCACGGCCCUCGUGACUGGUCAGGACGCUGGGCCAGGCUCGGCGCCCAACAAGGAAGAGAGCGGCCGAGGGGGCGCGCUAGGAGGCAGGACCCUGAGAUGAAUGCGGCAGGAGGAGUUUGGGACUUGGAUUUGAACUGUGAGCCGGGGCUAUGCUGGAGUAAAGUGGAGAUGCCUGCUACUCCCUCACUCACUCCCGCGAGUGCCCUCUGUCCGGCGACGCGCCACGGGAACACUGUGGCCCCUUGCCCAAGGGGCCGGGCUGUCCAGGAGGCGGUGCCGGGAGGGGCCACCGAGGGUCCCCCGGGAGCCCGCUGGGUUUCCCAGAUGCCUUCCCCGGCCCCCACCGCAAAGCUGGAGUCAGAAAGGGGCGGGAGGGCUGGCGGGGGCCACUCAGAGUUUCCAGCGACAUUUCCAGGGUGUGGGAAGCGAGCUGCUCCACAAGAGCCAGGACACAGGGCAGGAGUGAUUAACCGAAUGGUCCCUGAGUGCCAGAGCCCGGGUGGGGCCGGAAUUAGAUACGCAGCCCUCGGCCUUGGAGAGGCAGGAGACAGGCCCGGAGGCAGACAGGCUGGGACCGAGAUAAGUCACGGUGGCCCAGGAACAAGGCAACACCCGCUUGGGGAGAGAGAGUUCAUGCUUGUUAGACCUAAGCGCACUGACCAGGCGUUUGCAAACACUCGUGUACUGGCAAACGUGAGGAUGCUCACACACACGUGCAAAGUUUGGGGGAGGGAAUCGACCGGCUCCCUGGACGUGCCACAGCAUUGAAGAGGAUAAGGGUGGGGCCCUUUGGGCGGGGAUGAGGUUAAGAGGGUCUUGGUGUUCCCAUUCACCGUAUUUGUUUUGAUCCUGCUUUUCCGCUGUUCCUACAGUGCUGACUGCUGACGCAGAUCUGAAGGACACCGCCCACUGGCUCCCCAUUCUCUCUGGCCCUCCCUCCUCCCCUCCUCGUCCAGUCUUCUGCUGACGAAGCUGAAGAUCUUCCCACUCCAAGAAUCCUGGCCAUCCCCCUUCACCAGCAGUGAACUUCUUAGGCUCUAAGGCUCUGACCUGGACUCCAAGAUAAAUAUUUAAUGUAGAGGGUGCCGCUGAGCUGCCGAAGGUCCCAACUUCCUGUUUCUCACAAGAGAAGGCACAGUGUGGGCAAGGGAGCUGAGGACUGGCUACCAGUCCCAUCUCUAUGGGGAUGGGGAGUCUAGUAAACAGUCUUGGAGGAUGUAGGUUGGGAGGAACGGGGAGGGUGGCAAUGGAGGGCUGAACUGCUGCAGCUCUGCUUUGUCAGUCAGGCCGGGGCUGGCUCGCCACCUCUCAGGUUGGAGCUCACUGUGUUCACAAGUAUUCGGAUGGCUUUACAAAACACGGAGGCACGAGGCGCUAGGACCGCAGGGCAGAUCAGAAGGGAGUAGCCAAGAACACACGGACUCUUCUAGAGUCCGUAACCAACCCAGCAGUGAGGAGCUGAAGCCAAGUCACCAUAGAUAUACUAGCACAGAUCUCGACUCUGUUUCAUCCCUGGGGCCAUCUCCUGAUUCCAGGUCUGGCAGUACUGCCAACUAAGCUCUAUCAAUGGGCCCACCUAUGCCAAUCACUCAUGAGAACAGGGGCAAGCAAGGGAGGGAAGUGAAAUGACCCACUUUGGGGCUCCAAGGGCCCUCUUACACACUGGUCUAUCUGGAAGUCUGAGGUUUUUUUUUGGGGGGGGGGAGGGGGUUAGUCACUGCAAAGUGAAGGAACUCUAAGGGAAGCAACAACAAUAAAAAAACACAGGGCAGGUCAAGGCAGGUCAAUGUCAGACCUGGAAGCAAGGACAGGUAUGUAAAACCCCACAAGAACAAGAGCCUGGAGAUUUCAGGCCUGCUUUGAGCAAAUAUUUUCAUAGCACACAUAUCAUGGGCAUCUCAUGUUUCCUGGCAUCUAAACCCCAAAGGCAGUGAAAAGAAUCAGUUCCUGCCCAGUUUAUCCAGUCUGUCCUCCAGGAGGCCUGGACACUGACUGACAUCACAUCCACCAUGCGUCCCUUUUCGUGGAUAAACAAACAGAUGCCAUGGCCAGACAGGAAUGCCUGAGAAGGACCAACCUAGACAGGCUUCCUUUGGUUCUUACAAAAGGAUGGAAGGAGCAAGUAGGUGACAGGUCUCGAGAAAGCAGACUUUGCAGAGUGAUGCCCUCAGAGGGAAUGGAAGUCAAGUCAGCCACAGACAAGGGCAAAGAACCAGGGCCUGGAAAAUUGGGUCGGCCUCAGCCUUCCAUCCCAGCUCAGGGAAACUGAGAUAAGGGAGUCAGAGAGCUGACUGGCCGGCCAGAGGGUACCAUGAUAGAGUGCUGCUAUCCAAACAAAGGCUAGCCUGUCUUCUGGCCUCCUUGAGUUCUAUGAUAAACUGUCUGUCUCCACUGUAUUAGCAGUAAGACUCAAUUUACCUCUAAGUGACCAAUGCACUAUCAAGAGUAAGCUUUGCAAAUAAAAUCUUAAGAGUUGUGAUCUUUUAAAAAGUGAAGAGGAGGAAGCAGAAGAGGAGGAAGAGGAGGAGGAGGAGGAAGAGGAGGAAGAGGAGGAGGAGGAGGAAGAGGAGGAGGAGGAAGAAGAAGAAGAAGAAGAAGAAGAAGAAGAAGAAGAAGAAGAAGAAGAAGAAGAAGAGGAGGAGGAGGAGGAGGAGGAGGAGGAGGAGGAGGAAGGAGUGAAGCCAUCUAAUUACCCAGAGCAGACAACAAAGUAGGGAUUAGAUCUCAAUCUAGCAGGGGUCAGUGUGACUCAGUGUCUCAUCCUUCUUUCCUAGGCUCUGAAACAGCUUCCCACGACUCUGUAAAUAAGGGCAAACAUUACCUCAUCUCACUGGGGCUUUAGCUAAGGGAUAAGGCCACUGUUAACUCAGGAUGUCACUGGGGUAACAACAUAAAAUGCUCACUUGGCUUUUGUGCAGUUAAAAAAUCCGGGCUCAUUUUUCUGGUCUUAAAAUUGCACACUGUGGCUGUAUUUGAUGUCAAUGUUGCUAUUUGGAUGCAGCAGACCUGGAUUUAGCCUUUCCACCUCUGUUGCCAUAAUCUUUCCAAGUCCCUGUCCAGGGCCUCAGCCUUUCCCUGUCUCCACCCCCAAGCUGUGCAGCCAUGCUUAUCUGCUCUUGUGAAUUCCCAGCCCCCUGGGAUCUGUUUGCUUUGCAGAGGACUCCAAGGCUGUUCUGGUACUGCUAAGCUUAGGAGUACAGCUUUUCAUCAACUCCCUUUGAGCUUCUGACUUUUCCCAGAUCAUAUGAAAACUUAGUAAAUGACUAUCGUAAAAUGUAUUUUUGUGCUUUGUAAAGACUGUUUUCUGGGUUAUCAUCCUUCUACUCCUUCAAGGAGGGGCCUCUGCUGGAAAGGCCGCAGAGGGUCUAGGGCAGGAGAUCGUGGUGGGCAUAAUUUCAGGAAGAGGUAAGAGGCAAAGGAAACAGGGUUUGCAGGAGGGUGGGUGGGCAGGCGGGCGAGGGUUGGGAAGCAGAAACUCAUCAGAGGCCAUCUGAGCUUUAACCAAGGCUGAGGGAUCCUCUCUUGUGAAGGGACUUACUGGCAUUGUCAGAAAUCAGACCAGACAUCAGAAACUAGGCUUUCCCUCACCGCUGGAAUUACUAACUGGGUCAGAGCCUAAAGAUCAGUCCCUCUACUAAGAAUUCAAGGAAAUAAAGACACAGGGAGUCAAUGAAGUUAUCCUUCACUUAUAAGAGCAUUUGCUUCUUUUAAUCUUAAGAGGACUUCUAGUGUAUAGUAAGAAAGUUCUUAUAAAACUUAUUCACAAAGACUAAUGUCUCCUGUUGAGAGGUAACAUUUCUAGGAUUGUCUUUAACAUAGCAGAAAGCAGGAGAACGCAGGUAACCUCUAAGUACGAGCGAAUAGGCCAUCAUUCAAGGGAGCCACCAUCUACAUCGGCAUGUCUGACUGCUUCAUCAUCUACGAAGUGACACAGAGAGCCAAUCCUCUAGGAAGGGUCGGGUGAUGGGGAAAAGAGCUCUGGCUUAGGAUGCUGGGAGGAAUGAACAUAAGGGGCUCCUGAUGGCAUCUUUGCAAAGGCUCCGGGACAGACAAAAACACAUUUCCCUUUUCUCUUGUUUUAAACACAGGCUUUCAUUAUGUAGCCCUGAUUAGCCUGCCAUUUACUGUGACACCAGGCAACCCUCAAAUUUGCAGUGGUUCUUUUGCUUCGUCAUGUGCCCAGCCCAGAUCACAUCUUUAUCACCCCAAACCAUAGGUUCUGGCUACCUACAUCUAGUCAUGUGCACUUCACUUUGAUACGCUCCCCCUCCCCCCAAACCAGAAAGACAGGGAGGGUACUUGGAGAACUGUGAAAGGGGGUAAAGGGAAUGUGGGCAGGGACUUACAGGCAGGCAGUGUGCUUGGCUCUACUUCAGAGCUGCACAGAGGGAUGGUCCAUGUCCACGUCCCUGCUGCUUGAUCUGAAACCACCUAGACUUGGCAUGAAAUUGUUGACGAUGCAUAACCCUGGCUCAAACAAAGGUGUUAUUUAGCACGUCUUGCCACAGUUGCUGAGGCGUGAGGCCAAGGCCUCCCAGGAGGGAAUAUGCUCCCAGUAUCAUCUUUACCUUUGUGACUGCAUAGAUGAAGGCCGUUAACACUGACCCCAUUCACUCUGGCUGGCUAGAUAGAGGCAGGACAGCUCCCAAGUCCCAAUGUCAUGUAGUUUCCCUCUCUCAAACUGCCAAUGGCACAGAGCCCUAUUGUUAGCACAGCGCAUUGCUGGCAUCCAGAUGAGAGCGCUGCUCCUGUCCUUCGGCAAACUGGCUUUCUUCUCUACACUCAUCUGCUCUUUCUUACGGCUUCCCUAUGAGCUUCUGAUCAUGGCAAGAACUGAAAGAGAUUCCUCUGUGUGACCCAAACCCUCUUCAGUGUCUUGCUGUCUUGGCUGCUCUUUACACUGAUCUAACAGGCUACAGGAAAGACAGGACGGGUGUCAGAUAAGGGACUUUCAGAACUUCUGCCUUCUUAUGGGUCCUUAGCAGUGAGGGGCCUCCACCAGUGGACUGUGUCACAAUACGAUCUACUGUGACUUUCAUAGACACACUGACAGUGAAAACAGAAGAAUGCUGGGAAAGCAGCUGCCAUGCUUGACGUGCUGACACAGAGGGACAAGGACAGAUCUCAGCGCUCACGUCCUGAGGACCUUCCAGAGAUGUUCACAAUGGGUUGGUUCAUCUGGGGUUAGAAACUGAAAGCAAAGAAUCUGGCAACAGCUGAAGAGGUGACUUUAAGCAGGUCUAAGAAAACCUCUCAGGAUUAUUAUUAUUUUAAAAGGUUUAUUGCAUUUACUUGUUUAUUUUGUUUGUUCCACAAUGUUGUGUGAAGGUCAGAGGAUGACUUUUGUAAGUUGGUUUUCUUCUUCCUGGGGAGCAGACUUAAGUAAGCAGGCUAAGCAACCUCACUAGCCCACCCUGAUGAUUACUUUUUAACAUGAACCCAGGAGUGGAGGCCCAGCGGGGCAGUAGAGGGCUUUCACAGCAUGUGCAAGGCCUGGUUCAAUCUUAUGUAUCACACACACACACACGCACACACACACACACACACACUCUACAAUCACAGAGCUCAGAAGCCGAAAGGAAGUAAAUUAUUAUGGAAGCAGUUCCACCUGGAUCUUAAAAAUCACUAGGUUUGGGCUGUUCUCUUGGAAGUCCAAGUUUCCCUCAGAAGAGAAGCAAUUUUAGCCAUUGAGAUUGGUACUGAGCAGAAGGGAAAUUUUGAAAGACAAUUUUUUUUUCUCUGUGUAGCCCUGGCUGUCCUGGACAACUCACUUUGUAGACCAGGCUGACCUCGAACUCAGAAAUUCACCUGCCUCUGCCUCCCAAGUGCUGGGAUUAAAGGUGUGCACCACCAUGCCUGGCUAUUGAAAGACAUUUUCGAGUUAUGUCAUAAAUUAAAAAAAAAAAAAUCACCUCCCCAAACAAGAAGAGGGCUAACUAGGAGUAUGAGUCAGAAAUCUAGGGUGAAGGUUUCCAAGGCCCUUAUUAUUAGGGGAAGGUCCCCUUUAUAGCAUAAGAUUUCAACACACACACACACACACACACACACACACACCCAACCAAUCAGAUUCGUUCCUAAAAUUAGGACAAGGGGAGGGAAACAAAACAAAAGUAUUUUAUAUAUAUAUAUAUAUUGAACAUAAAUUAGAAGAAUUUAUAAAAUGGUCAUUUUUCUUACAGAAUAAAUGCGACUGAAUUACAAAUGCACCUCCAAGUUUAAGUUGUUUGAGUUGUUCCUGUUUCAUUUCCAGUAUAAAUAAAUGUGAUUUGCUCAUA